AUGACAGCCGGCGCGUGGCCGGCGGCCGCCGCGGCGGCGCGCGCGGCGGUGCGCACGCUCGGGCGCCUCGUCCCCCGCACCCACACCCACUCCACCGCCGCCACCACCAACUCCUCCCCCUCCUCCCCGGCGCACACCCUGGACGACUACAACCGCCUGCUGGCGGCCCUGGCGCGGGACGGGGACGGCGAGUCGGCGCUCCGCGUGCUCCGCCGCAUGCGCCACGGCUUGCCCGCGGCCUGCGCGCCCACGGCCGCCUCCUACGUCUCCGCCAUGUCGGCGCUCGCCAAGGCCGGCCGCGCCGCCGACGCCACGGCGCUCUUCGACGACAUGCUCGCGCACGGCGUGGCGCCCGACCGCCGCGCCUACUCGCUCCUCCUCCACGUCUACUCCACCCACCUCGGCCUCCCCGCCGCCGGCCUCUCCGUGCUGCACUGGAUGUCCGGCCUCGGCGUCCGCCCCAGCGCCGUCGACUACGCCGACCUCAUCUUCUCCUUCUGCCGCGCGGGCCAGCUCCCGGACGCGCUCCAGCUGCUCGACGAAAUGCGCGAGCUCGGGUACCCGCUCCCCCCGCACGUCUACUCGCCGAUACUCCAGGCCCACUGCGACGCCGCCGACAUCCCGGCCGCCGAGGCGCUCAUCGCCUUCAUGCGCGCCUCCGGGGGCCGCUCCGGGUGCAACCCCGACGUCGUCAUCUACAACAUCUACAUCCACGGGCUGUGCAGGGUCGGGGACUUCCAUGCCGUGCAGAGGGUUAUCAACGACAGCGUCUGGAACUGGUGGGUGCCGGACGCGGUGACCUACAGCACCUACGUUGCCGGGCUCUGCCGGGCUGGGUACAUCGAGGACGCGUUCAGGCAGCUGGACAUCAUGGUCGCCAAGGGGCUACAGCUCACCGUGGUCGGCCUCAACAUACUGCUGGAUUACGCCGCCAAGGAUGUAGAUAUGUGGGUUGCCAAGGAGGUGAUGGAGCGCUGCGAAGAGCUGGGCUUCGAGGUCGACGUCGUGACGUACAACACGGUCAUGGAACAUUUCUCCAAGAAGAUGCAGUGGCUGAUUGCCCUCAGGCUGUUCACCGAUCUGCUCAAGAAGCCCAUAACACCCGAUGUGCAGACGUACAACAUCUUGAUCUCAUCCCUGUGCCGAGCCGGCAAGUUUGAGCUCGCCAAGUUCGUCUUCAGUUGCAACGGGUUUGUGGCGGACACCGUCACCUGUAACAUUCUGAUCCAUCAGUUCUACGGUGCUGGAAAGGAGGGUGAGCUUGGGUUCUUGUUCUCCGAUGUUGACGCAGGGAAGAUUACCCCAGAUACAAUCACAUACAACACGCUGGUCGAUUGCCUCUUUAGGUCUGGGAGGAGGACCGAGGCUGCCAAUCUGGUCAGGCACAUCGAUGGCGGCUACCCUGCGGAGCCCGUAGCGCAUCUGGCUUUCUGGUUGGUUAGGAGCGGAAAUGUUCGAGAGGCUUUGAGUCUGUUUGAUGACAUGCUAGUGAAAGGAGUCGCUUUAGAUGCUAUGGUUUUCGCCAAUGUGAUCAAGGCAUUCUGCAGAAAGGGUCCAGGGGAGUGCACAGAUAUGACACAGCUGUGCUCUGUGCUGGAUAGGAUGCUUGGGAUUGGAUGA
rnacentral:rRNA from 1 species